GAUGAACGCUGGCGGCGUGCCUAAUACAUGCAAGUCGAGCGAACGGACGAGAAGCUUGCUUCUCUGAUGUUAGCGGCGGACGGGUGAGUAACACGUGGAUAACCUACCUAUAAGACUGGGAUAACUUCGGGAAACCGGAGCUAAUACCGGAUAAUAUUUUGAACCGCAUGGUUCAAAAGUGAAAGACGGUCUUGCUGUCACUUAUAGAUGGAUCCGCGCUGCAUUAGCUAGUUGGUAAGGUAACGGCUUACCAAGGCAACGAUGCGUAGCCGACCUGAGAGGGUGAUCGGCCACACUGGAACUGAGACACGGUCCAGACUCCUACGGGAGGCAGCAGUAGGGAAUCUUCCGCAAUGGGCGAAAGCCUGACGGAGCAACGCCGCGUGAGUGAUGAGGGUCUUCGGAUCGUAAAACUCUGUUAUUAGGGAAGAACAUAUGUGUAAGUAACUGUGCACAUCUUGACGGUACCUAAUCAGAAAGCCACGGCUAACUACGUG
rnacentral:rRNA from 1 species